rnacentral:rRNA from 1 species
GAAAGUAAGAAAGGGCGUAUGGCGGAUGCCUAGGCUCACGGAGGCGAUGAAGGACGUGAUAAGCUGCGAUAAGCUUCGGGUAGGUGCAAAUAACCCUUGAUCCGGAGAUUUCCGAAUGGGACAACCUAGCCGUCUGAAGGACGGUUACUCAAUCUUCAAGGUUGAGAGCUAACGCAGGGAACUGAAACAUCUUAGUACCUGCAGGAAGAGAAAAUAAAUGAAUGAUUCCCCUAGUAGUGGCGAGCGAACGGGGAACAGCCCAAACCGUUGACGUCGCAAGGCGCCAGCGGGGUUGUAGGACCGCGACAUUGUAUGCAAAUCGUGAACAGAACACUUUGGAAAAUGUGACCAUAGACGGUGAUAGUCCAGUAUGUGAAGCGAAAUGCAGCAUAGCGGUAUCCUGAGUAACGCGGGACACGAGGAAUCCUGCGCGAAUCUGCCGGGACCAUCCGGUAAGGCUAAAUACUCCCGUGAGACCGAUAGCGAACGAGUACUGUGAAGGAAAGGUGAAAAGAACCCCGAGCAGGGGAGUGAAAUAGUUCCUGAAACCAUACGCCUACAAGCGGUCGGAGCAUCUUACGAUGUGACGGCGUGCCUUUUGCAUAAUGAUCCUACGAGUUACCGUCACUGGCGAGGUUGAGUGUCACGAGACACGUAGCCGCAGUGAAAGCGAGCCUGAACAGGGCGCAUAGUCAGUGGGGGUAGACGCGAAACCAAGUGAUCUACACUUGGCCAGGAUGAAGUCCCGGUAACACGGGAUGGAGGUCCGCACCAAUAAGCGUUGAAAAGCUUCUGGAUGAGCCGAGUGUAGGAGUGAAAGGCCAAUCAAACUUGGAGAUAGCUCGUACUCCCCGAAAGGCAUUUAGGUGCCGCGUCGGAUGGUCACCGUGAGAGGUAGAGCGACCGAUAGGACAAGAGGGCUUCACCGCCUAUCGAGUCCUGACGAACUCCGAAUGCUCACGGUCUGCAGUCCGGCAGUAAGGGGGCGGGUGCUAAGGUCCGUCCCCGAGAGGAGAAGAAUCCAGACCGCCGUCUAAGGUCCCGGAGUUCUGCCUGAGUUAGUCUAACGAAGUCUGGUCCCCGCGACAGCUAGGAUGUUGGCUUGGAAGCAGCCAUUCAUUUAAAGAGUGCGUAACAGCUCACUAGUCGAGGAGUCGGGCGUGGAUAAUAAUCGGGUAUUAAGUUGUCUACCGAAGCAGUGGGAUCAUUAAUAUGAUCGGUAGGGGAGCAUUCCAGUCGGCGUCGAAGGCGUACCGUGAGGUAUUCUGGAGCGUCUGGAAAAGCAAAUGUAGGUAUAAGUAACGAUAAAGGGGGCGGGAAACCCCCUCGCCGAAAGACUAAGGUUUCCUGAUCAACGCUAAUCGGAUCAGGGUCAGUCGGGUCCUAAGGCUCAGCCGAACGGCGAUGCCGAUGGCAGAAACGGUUAAUAUUCCGUUACUACCUUCAGGAGUGACGUGGAGACGCAGUAGUGACAGUGCCGCCAUCUGACGGAAUAGAUGGUUGAAGGGUGUAGGAGUCGAUCAUGGCAGGCAAAUCCACCAUGAGAUCCGAACCUGAUAGUAUGCCGCGUCCUUCGGGACAAGGCAAUAGUGCGCGUAAGCAUGCUGCCGAGAAAAUCCGCUAAACUUAAUCCUGCAGGUACCCGUACCGCAAACGGACACACGUAGUCGGGAUGAAUAUUCUAAGGCGCUUGAGUGAUUCACGGUUAAGGAACUAGGCAAACUGACCCUGUAACUUCGGGAAAAAGGGUCCCGUCUCGCAAGAGCGGGCGCAGAGAAUAGGUCCAGGCAACUGUUUAACAAAAACACAGGGCUGUGCGAAGUUUAAAGACGAAGUAUACAGCCUGACACCUGCCCGGUGCCGGAAGGUUAAGAGGAGACGUCAUCGCAAGAGAAGCGUUGAAUUGAAGCCCCGGUAAACGGCGGCCGUAACUAUAACGGUCCUAAGGUAGCGAAAUUCCUUGUCGGGUAAGUUCCGACCUGCACGAAUGG